rnacentral:rRNA from 1 species
GGUGAACGCUGGCGGCGUGCCUAAUACAUGCAAGUCGAGCGAACAGACGAGGAGCUUGCUCCUCUGACGUUAGCGGCGGACGGGUGAGUAACACGUGGAUAACCUACCUAUAAGACGGGGAUAACUUCGGGAAACCGGAGCUAAUACCGGAUAAUAUAUUGAACCGCAUGGUUCAAUAGUGAAAGACGGUUUUGCUGUCACUUAUAGAUGGAUCCGCGCCGCAUUAGCUAGUUGGUAAGGUAACGGCUUACCAAGGCAACGAUGCGUAGCCGACCUGAGAGGGUGAUCGGCCACACUGGAACUGAGACACGGUCCAGACUCCUACGGGAGGCAGCAGUAGGGAAUCUUCCGCAAUGGGCGAAAGCCUGACGGAGCAACGCCGCGUGAGUGAUGAAGGUCUUCGGAUCGUAAAGCUCUGUUAUUAGGGAAGAACACAUGUGUAAGUAACUAUGCACGUCUUGACGGUACCUGAUCAGAAAGCCACGGCUAACUACGUG